CUACGGGACGCUCCAGUGGGGAAUAUUGCACAAUGGGCGCAAGCCUGAUGCAGCCAUGCCGCGUGUAUGAAGAAGGCCUUCGGGUUGUAAAGUACUUUCAGCGGGGAGGAAGGGAGUAAAGUUAAUACCUUUGCUCAUUGACGUUACCCGCAGAAGAAGCACCGGCUAACUCCGUGCCAGCAGCCGCGGUAAUACGGAGGGUGCAAGCGGUAAUCGGAAUUACUGGGCGUAAAGCGCACGCAGGCGGUUUGUUAAGUCAGAUGUGAAAUCCCCGGGCUCAACCUGGGAACUGCAUCUGAUACUGGCAAGCUUGAGUCUCGUAGAGAGGGGUAGAAUUCCAGGUGUAGCGGUGAAAUGCGUAGAGAUCUGGAGGAAUACCGGUGGCGAAGGCGGCCCCCUGGACGAAGACUGACGCUCAGGUGCGAAAGCGUGGGGAGCAAACAGGAUUAGAUACCCGAGUAGUC
rnacentral:rRNA from 1 species